UGGUGGAGUGAUUUGUCUGGUUAAUUCCGAUAACGAACGAGACUUUAACCUGCUAAAUAGACACUAAAGCUUAGGCUUUAGCUGCGCUUCUUAGAGGGACUUUGCGUGUUUAACGCAAGGAAGUUUAAGGCAAUAACA
rnacentral:rRNA from 1 species